CUGGGUUGUGGGCCUGAAGGGGAACGAGACAUUAAGGAGCAUGCAUUUUUCCGGUAUAUCGACUGGGAGAAACUCGAACGCAAGGAGAUUCAGCCACCUUAUAAACCAAAAGCUUGUGGGCGAAACGCUGAAAACUUCGACCGGUUUUUCACCCGCCAUCCACCAGUCCUAACACCUCCUGACCAGGAAGUCAUCAGGAAUAUUGACCAAUCAGAAUUCGAAGGAUUUUCCUUUGUUAACUCUGAAUUUUUAAAACCCGAAGUCAAGAGCUAAGUAGAUCUGUAGACCUCCGUCCUUCAUUUCUGUCAUUCAAGCUCAACAGCUAUCAUGGUGACAUUUUUUUUCUUUUCCAUUGCCAAGUUACAUCCGUGUUUUCUUUUCUGAUGAGGCUAGAGUGGCCAUGUUUCAGAACCCAAAUGUCCUCAAGUAGUUUGGAGCAUCUCGAGGAGAUGGAAUUAUGCAGGUGGCAUGUAGAAAGUGCUGCAUAAUCGAGACACGCUCAGAGCCCUACUAUGUGCAUCCCUAGCAUGUCGGCUCACAGGCCCCCAGGGGAGAGAAAAUGCUUGCUUUUCUCCCUGGUCCUCUGCACUGCCAUUUUUACCCUGACCCCCAGUCUACAUCCUUCCUACAAAAUGGAUAGACGAGCCAAAUGCUAGCAACAUUCUUCCACCUUCCCGGCUGGGAGCUUGGCUUGAAUCCAAGUAUAUGGCUGCUUUGCCCUAGAGGGAAUCCCUCCACGCUGCCUGUUCUGGAGGCAGUGGAGCUUUGAAAAGAACAUGCUAAAAAUAAAAAUUUAUUUUUAUUUUUUUAACUCAAUGUUAAGAAGAUUAUCUAAGUCCUGGGGAAAAAAGGAAUGCGCUUUUAGACAAGUUUCCAUCUAAAAGCACUUCCAGGGUCGAAGGCAACCAGCUUGUGUGCUGUCACCUUGCUGUAGUUUCUAAUACUGUGUGUCUGAUAGUGGUACCCUCAUCCCCCAAACUACUCCAGAAUGACAUUUGGCACUGUUCUUAGAACCACAUGGUCACUCUAGCAAGGUCCUAAAGGACCCUGAUUCUACAUUACAUUUCAAAUGUUACUUGCUUUUUUUUUUAAUUUCUGUCAUCAUUGAAAUGCAAAAAG
rnacentral:lncRNA from 1 species